UACGGAAGAUGCAAGCGUUAUCUGGAAUGAUUGGGCGUAAAGCGUCCGCAGGUGGCUAUGUAAGUCUGCUGUUAAAGAGUGAGGCUCAACCUCAUAAGAGCAGUGGAAACUACAUAGCUAGAGUACGUUCGGGGCAGAGGGAAUUCCUGGUGUAGCGGUGAAAUGCGUAGAGAUCAGGAAGAACACCAGUGGCGAAGGCGCUCUGCUAGGCCGUAACUGACACUGAGGGACGAAAGCUAGGGGAGCGAAUGGG
rnacentral:rRNA from 1 species